GUGAGAAGCUCGGUCAUCCGGGAGGGACUCGGAGUAAAGCCGCUGCUCCUCCACGUUGAGAGGAGCCAGAUGAGGUGGCUCGGGCAGCUCACCAGGAUGCCUCCUGGACGCCUCCCUGGGGAAGUGUUCCGGGCAUAUCCCACCAGUAGGAGACCUCGCGGCCGACCCAGGACGUGCUGGAGAGAGUAUGUCUGGUUGAGCUGGAUGAAGUGGCUGGGGAGAGGGAAGUAUGGGAGUCCCUCCUAAAGCUGCUGCCCCCACGACCCGACCCGGAUAAGCCGAAUAGAAUGGAUAAAUGGAUGGAUGAUAAACGAGGGAUUGUCUGUCUGCACUCGGCGUAAUUUCUCUGUUGAUGUGUACAUGAUCACAUAUGUGUCGGUAUGAAUUAUGUGAACGUAUGACUGUUGCACGGAGUAUAAUAUAGGCGUCUAUCCGUGGUGAUAUUGAUAUUUUAACAAAGAAAGAACGCUCCGCUUUCGCAGAGCAUUAACAAACUGAGAUAUACUCUUAUUGUUCCUCUCCACGGAAAUCUUCAGUAAAAGGCGAAAGAUUUAUUCCAUCUGUAGAGAAACGAGUGAUCUGAUAAUCUGGGUCAAAACGGGCCACCCCACUGCUGGUCUCACCAAAUUCACAGGCGGUCUCACAUUCAAAUCGCAGCAUCAUUCCUUCUAAUACAAACAAUAGACGUUGAUAGAGUUACUAUACUUAGAAGGACUCAACCUAAAUAGAAGGUUUAAACGAGUAUUUUGUGUUCAUUAAUGUCUCACUUACUUUAAACCUUGUUGCCGCACAGGAUUGUAAGUACUGGAUCGAACACUGACGGCGCUCGUUCUUUCAAACAGCGAUUGGGCGUCUAUUUUGAGUAUUGAAGGUAAAAACAGUUGUAUGUCUUGGUACGUGUACUUUUGGUAUGAGAGAACAGGAAAUGAUCCCAUCUCUGUGUUUCGUUUGAAAAUGUGUAAUUUCAUUAUUUUAUUCAACACAAAUCGGGAAACAAAAUACGAUCGUAAUUUCUCAGAUGGUUUCUCAAAUUUCAGAAAUGCUCUAUAUCUCUAAUGUGGCGCAAAUAAUUGAGGCUUUUGACGUUGCUGGCAUGGUUUGGGGUGUAAUUCACCUCCACUGCGAUGGUGGCAUUCGAUAUUUGACAUUUGAAUAUAAAUCUGUCAUUUUACUUUAGGAAGUAAAAGUUGUUUUCUAGAAAUCCAUACUUUUGAUGUAUGAGGAACAACAAUCAGGCGCAUUGUCAGGUCUAAAUACCAUCAGACAUUUAACCACACGCUGGAAGGAAGAGGAGAAAAGAACCAGAACAGGUUUACUCGCGAGGAGAACGAUAGAGAGAGGAAACUCAGUUACAAUCUCCAUCAAUUCUGAGUUCUCCCUCCACGUGCUCCUCUAUUUAAUGUUUUGGUUGCCCUGGUUACAGAGGCGUUGCUACACUAAAGGGAGGUGAGAGUGUGACUGUAGCAACGCUGUUCAGCUAGCUAAUAAUGUUGUGUGGUGCGAGGCCGCAUGGCCUUGGCCGAUCCGUGACCCCACGAAUGCAGAGUCUGUUCUUACAUGGUUGGCAGCUUCGUUCCUGGCUGCAAUCUCUAAACCUGGAUGCCGUGUCUCUGUAAAACAAUGCUCUAGACUUUCUUGCUACAUUUCACACAAUAAUAAUAAUAAUAAGUGAAUAAUCAGAUACCUCUCGUGCAAACACUCUAACAAAGGUUAAGUAGAUGUGAGAUAACUUGCAUGAAGUCUACUUAAACAAACAUUGAGUAAAUAUGGGAUAACUAAAAACUGUCUCGGACAAAAGCAAUUAACAGAGAAAGGGCUUCUCUUGAACUAACAAAGAACAAAGAACAAAGAUGUUCUGUUUCUAACUAGUGAGGGCCUCUCAAAGAUAAGACAAGGAAAGGGAGUAUAAGGACUCCCCAAGGCUAGCCGGCACAUAUGUUGACUUGAGCGAAGAUAUGUGACCUUCGGUUCCAGGCCGACCAGCGCUUCAGCAAAACUAAUUAUUCUAACAUUUCCCUCCUGUUUAUCACAUAUUUGCUCAAAUCCUCACAUCACCGUAAACAACCACUACUCUCGAUUUUCAGUUGUCGGAUCACAUUUAUGAAAACAAAUAUGUUUACACUCAAAAGAUAAAUGUUGCGUCGUCAUCACUCAGAAUUGCAUGGAUCGGGGAAAAAGUCUUGUAACGUCAGUGCACGAAUCCCGUCAUCAACAUUGUUAUCAUCAUCAUCAUCAUCUUGUCGCUCAGACAUUAGACACAUCCGAGCCAUCUUGUCCUCCAUGGGCGAUAUUGCUGUAGUGAUGAGACGGUUAAACAGAGCUCAUAUUGGUUCAACAGUUCAUUUUUUCUGACAUUUUUCUCAGUUGUCAUUGUCAUCCCAGUGUCAAAGUUCAAUGUGGCUUAGAAUAAUAUUGAAUGUUUCGUGACUUGUAAGAAAUUCAAGAGCCACUGGCAUAGUGGUUCUCUCAACUCAUUUUAGUUUAAUUUAUGGUCUAUUCUUCGCAGGUUUUAAACAUGACCACCGCCUAGAUCUUGAAGUACGGCGUCACAGAUGACGAGACGGUGGACAAACUGCAGCAGAGAAUUGCAGACGAAACCAGCAUCCCUGCAGCCCAGCAGGAGUUGCUCCUGGAGGCCGGCUCAGCUUUGGAGCCUCUCGGGCCGGCCACGCAUUGCGCCAUCGAUUACACCGUAACUCAUAUCGAAUCGUUCUCGCAUAAAAAAUGUCAAUGGCACAUCAUGUCUCAAAUCUCAUACUAUGUGGAGGAGCUAGAUGGGCGGCGGACAGACUUCCCUCUCGUUUUCCUGUUUGAUCGCUCAUCUUGUAGUUACGAACCACCGUUGACUCCUCGCGUCCUCCCUAAAAAUGUCAGUUUUAUCCAUGAGUCUUCCUCCUCCUUUUGUUGGAAUUAAAAUGUAUUUUAUUCUUAGUGUGUGCCAUAGAAUAGUGUAACUAUUUAAACAUUCUUAGUGUAGCUGCCAUAAGAAAAUGCACUGAUAUGGAACGUUUGAGCCAGGCUCUGUUUCCAAGUGGGAACCAAUUUUAGUUUUUGUGUUAGCGGUUCCUUUUUGAGAGUUACACAAGGGCGAGUGUCUGAUUUUGAGCCACGGCGUGGCAACGUUUUCCGUUUGCAAAAGCAAGUGAUGAAGAAUGCAAGGAAUGCUUCUUUUGUUUCUUUUCUGAUAACAUUUUUGUUUAUUGGUUAAACCAGAGUUUUGAAGAUCUGUAUUGUCAAGAUUUACGUUUUUUUUCGUUUUCUCCCUCGAGCAAAUGCGGCAAUGAGUUCUCACGGCAUGUGUGUGGAGAAGGAGUUGAAUAAAUGCCCGUUUUGAAGAACUGCUUGUACACCUGAUUGACAAGAGGGAGCUACAGUGAGAACUCAGCCAGCCCGGCGCCAGAACAAGACGUUGUUCGGCAGAGCUACAAGCAAGUCACUUCACUCACCUCUUCCAUCGGACAGAUAAGAGACUGUACAUUCACCUGCCUACACAAGUAGCUACCUGAGUCCAGAGAGCUUUGGGUGCCAGUCAACAAUAAGUAAAACAUUUGAACAAGUUAAAUGUUUAAAGGUGGACUAGCCUCAAUUGCUGUAAAGGGACCUACAAGUGCUAAAUUGUGCAAUGUUAUGGUGAUGUGUGCAUGUUGUAAGGUUUAAGUGCUUGCUUAUUUGCACCUAGUAAUGUCUGAUUGAGGUGUGAACGACCAUUCAUAGCAUUUGAAAACAAGUUCAUUUGCAAACAUUUAAAGGUGUAGAACAACAUUUAAGUGAUUAAGUCAUUGCAAUGAAAAUUAAGUUUAUUGUACAUUUAGUCAAUAUAUUAGACAGGUUGGUUGAUAAAGUAAAUUACAGGAGUCAGUAGUAAUUCAAGAUAGCCUACUGUAGUCAAGUGAUAAAACUAUAACAUCAUUACAUUAGUAAAUCAGAUUUAUACUUGAGUUUAAAGAAAAUCAGUUCAUAUAGCUUAAAUUUCAUGCAAAAUCGUAAUAAAAAAUAAUAGAUAAAUUAAUAAUCUUAAUAAAUACUGAGUUCAUGAGACUUCCUAAAAAUGGAUGUGUCCAAGAUAGAAGGGAUAACUCCAAUCUUAGAAGGCAUUGAGGAUGCUGAUAGUGAGCAAGCAGGUAAAACUCUUAAGGGGGAGACUGAAAUAAGUGAAGGCAAACAACCUGCCCCAGAAGAUGAAAUAAGAAGAAGUGAAAGAUCAAGAAAGCUCACUGAGAAGGGACAAGAACUCGAAGAGACUAAACUCAAAGGUCUCCAACAUCGUUUCUCACGUACCUAUGACAAGUGGAAGAUUCUUGCUAAGAAAUCAAGGAAGGAGAUAGAGGGAGCCUCUUCUCAAGAGAACCUACAAACUCUCAUCAACAAGGUAAAAGAAGCAUCAAAUGAUGUACAGCAGGCGUACGAAGACCUGCGCAAAUGCAUAAUCCCUGAUAAAGAGACACGCCGUCGAACAGACACCUGCGACAAUGUCUCAAGGCAGAUAUUAGAGCAUGCUUGGAAUCAUCUCCAAGACAAAGAUAACGAGCAAGAAAUAAAGUGGUUUGAAACUGGCUCUGUGUUCUCAUUAGAAGUAUCAGAAGCAUGCAGUGCAAGCUCAAGAUCAUCACUCUCAAGUAAAUCCUCAUGUAAAUCUUCAAAAAUAAGUGAAGCUGCAGCAGAAUUAGCAGCAAAUGAAGCCACUUUGGAAGUCCAAGAGCAAGUGGAGCGUGAGGAACGUGAACUCAGAAACCUAGAAGCUGAGUACAGACAAAGGCUUGUGCAACAAGAAAAGGAACGUGCACAAGAAGAAGAGCAAUGUAGACAAAGGCUUGCACAAGAAGAAGAAGAAUGUGCUGCAAAUAAACAGGUCUUGGAAGAAAAGCGCAGAAAGAUAGAACGCUUAGAGACCAUAAAAAAGAUAAAUGCCGCCAAGGCCAAACUAGAAGUGUAUAAACAAGAACAAGGCUCAACCUCAGACUUGCUGGAUCUAUUCAAGGAUUAUAAGCCCAAACGAGAAAGGCUUACAUUCGACUCAAAACCUGCUGUCCCGCCACAACUAAUCACAAGGAUGCAAUCAUCUAUAACUACUCCCAAAGAGGAUAGCACAACUGAUUUCGCCAAGGUACUAGCAGAGUCCUUCAGUGUAAGCCGUCUCCCAGCACCAGAGCCUGCUGUUUUCAGUGGGGAUCCACUAAAGUACAAGGGCUGAAAAAUGUCCUUUCAAACGCUGAUAGGCAGAAAGAAUAUACCAGCGAACGAAAAAAUCUACUACCUACAAAAAUAUGUUGGCGGACCAGCAAGGAAAGCCAUUGAGGGAUACUUCCUUCUAGGAACAGAUGCAGCCUAUCAGACAGCGCUCAGUGUCCUGGAAAAAAGAUUUGGAAGCUCCUUUAUGGUUGCUAAGGCGUUCAGAGAUAAGCUGGCCUCAUGGCCAAAGAUAGGACCCAAGGAAAGCAUUCAGCUACGAGAGUUCUCAGACUUCCUUCGAGGCUGCCAAGCAGCCAUGUCGCAAAUAAAGAGCCUGGAGGUCCUUAACGACUGUGGUGAAAACCAACGAAUGCUCUCCAAGCUUCCCGACUGGCUUACAGCAAGAUGGAACCGAAGGGUGACCAGGAUGGAAAAGGAAAAUGAGACUUUCCCCAGCUUCGAUCAGUUCGUGGAAUUCGUCACAGAGGAAGCCGAUAUCGCUUGUAAUCCGAUUACCUCCCUUCACGCUCUGAAGUCUGGAGAUGGUGGAAUGGAGAAGCCACAAAAAACACAAAGUGUUGGUGCCAAGGUGCUAGCAAGUAGCUCUGAAGAGAAAACAGAUGCUAAAGGAUGUGUAUUCUGUGAGAAGUCAAAUCAUGGCUUACAGACAUGUCGAAAGUUCUUGAAAGAGACAACUGCAGAACGAGUCAAGUUUGUGAAAACAAACAAGCUCUGCUUUGGAUGUUUGAAAUCAGGACAUCAGUCCAAGAACUGUGAGAAGAGAAGCAUUUGUGAGACAUGCAAAAGGAAGCAUCCAACAUGUCUACAUGAAAAUCGUCCAAGGGAAGACAAUAGGAAAGAACAAGAGGAUGGCGAAAGAAAGGAGAGUGGGAGACGCUUUAAGAAAAAGGAGCGCACAAAGGAGAAGGAAGACUUAUCAGAGUCUGAAGAGAAAGAAGAGACACCAGUAGAGGCAACAGCUAACAGAGUGGUGCAAGACAAGAGGAGCACCUAUUCCUCCACAGUUGUUCCUGUAUGGCUGUCCACAGCAAGUAAUCCAGAGCAGGAAGUGCUCGUAUACGCUCUAUUGGACAACCAAAGCGACACCACCUUCAUCCUGCAAGAAACGGCAAAAGUGUUAGUUACAAAGAAACAGGCUGUGCAAUUAAAGCUCUCCACGAUGUCAUCCAAAGAUACCGUCAUCCAGAGUCAGAAGUUAACUGGACUGCAGGUCAGAGGUUAUAAUGAGACAAGGAAAAUAUCUCUCCCAGUAACCUACACAAGAGAGUUUAUUCCUGCAAACCUAAGUCAUGUCCCCAUACCUGAGACAGCAAGAUCAUGGCCUCACCUAGAGCACCUUGCCGGAGAGAUCACUCCUUUAUGUGACUGUGAGAUUGGCCUGCUCAUAGGCUACAACUGUUCUCAGGCCCUGUUGCCCAGAGAAGUGGUGUCAGGAAAAGAUAAUGAGUCUUUCGCUCAACGAACAGACUUGGGCCGGAGUAUAGUUGGCUGUGCAGAUCCCUGGUUCGAAUCUGGGUCAUGGCAUAAUCAAAUUACUUUGAAGAAUUUCUCCCUUGCUCACUAUUGCUAAACUGACAUCUUUUGGACAAUGACGAUUUUCCACACAAGUCUACGGUCAAUAGCCGUAACUUGUAGGGCGAGUGGCGCAAAGAAUAAAGCAUCAUGGCAUAUUCAAAUAAUGUCACCUAUUUUUUAUUUUCAUUUUUGCAAAAGUGUUACAAGCUUACAAGCCACAUAUUCCCGUGGGGCUCGUGGAGCAAUGGGUAACGCAUCUGUCUACAGAUCAGAAGAUUCCAGGACUCCUGGCCAGCUUACAUGCCAUUUUGUGGUCAACAUUAGCUAUGUGUAGUUUAUGUGAACUUUUGGGUUGAAGUAACUCACAGACACUGUCAACAAAUAGUCUUUCCAAUUUUGUCUCAGCUCAAGUAUUAGGGAUCAUCAGAUCUGCGUAGUUAUUGGAUAGUUCCACCAACAUUUUAAUAUCAACAUCUGCCUGGGUGUCGUGGCUGAAGAUCCUAGAAAAAAGACCCUAAACAUGCAACUGCAUAUUGGCCAUAAUAUAGCAUCGAGGCGGCUGCAAUCCCAGUUUGAAUCUACAUACACACAAGCUUACAGAAAAUGACAACUUCCCGUGGGGCUAGUGGCUCGUUCCUUGCUCUGAACGGAGAGCCAAAACGAUUCCUAACACUUACUAAUGAAGUCCUAACCAAUUCCUGUGUGUGUAUGGGGGGCGGGGGGGGCAAAGGAACCAAUCAGAUGGCCCGAAUCCAUGCAUGGCCGAUGACGGCAGUGAUCAACACAGUGCUAUUUGAGAAGUGAAAUGCAGUUUAUAGGAUUUGCAGACAGUGUGCAAUCUUUAUUUAAACAAAAGUAGGCAAGUGCAUACAUUUGGAAACCCCAUCAGAAAAAUGACAUCAAUAUUUAGUAGUUCCUCCUUUUGCAGAAAUAACAGCCUCUAAACCAGUGGUUCUUAACCUGGAUUCGGUCAAACUCUAUGAGUUCGGUGAGUCGGUCUCAGGGGUUCAGCAGAGCCUCCACUGUGGAGGUCCGAACACACCUGUUUUAUAAAUUCGUGAUAACGCCUAUCUGAACUGGUCUCGCAAAGGCAACAGCAGAAGUCCUCCUGAUUUGCUGGUAUGUCAUUUGUCAUGAAUUCAUGCAUUGUGUUGGUUUUAUUCUUUCAACAAGGUGGUGUUCAUGCACUUCUGCAUGAGUUCCGCUCUAUUCUUCUGGCCCAACUCUUUCGGCGCAGCCGUUAGGUAGAUAUGAUGACCAUGGAAAGUUCUUUGUGAAUUAUCAAUCUUUGCCUUUCAUGUUCAUCGGGACUACACUUUUAAUAGGUACCUACACUGUGUAUUUGGAUAGAGACUGCUGAAAGUAUACACAUAUAUGCUUCGUGAACUACAUGCAUUACUGCGGGUGAAGAAGCGUGAACAAAUAAGUCAGCAGACAAGUUUGCCGAUUUAUUAGUGCCCAGAAGAGAAGCACUUCACAGUUUAACUAUUUAAUGUCUGCCAGAAUAAUCGAUGUACAGCUGUGGACCCCUUUCGGCGAGAUGCAAAAGAAGGUCCCUCUCCCAGCGCCAAGGUUCUUUAUACUACUCUGGGCCGCCUUCCUGCAAGGAGGCGACUCUGCCUAGCCUAGCGGUGGCCAACCCGCGGCUCGCGAGCCGCAUGCGACUCUUUGGCUGGUUUCAUGCGGCUCUUUUACGUUCAUAUCAACAUUUGUGUUUAUUUUUCGUGCGUAUUUGCUUCGCUUGAGUUCAAUAUGGUAUUUUGGUCAAACGCGCAUGCGCGUGAGGUGAAAUCCCGCAAAGGAGGAGGGACAAACAGAGCGAUUGGUUUUGCUGGCUUUUUAAUGAAUGGCGACUGUGACUACGGGGGCCCAUUAGGUCCAGAAAAGCUGACACGACGCUUGCCAAAAUGGCAAAGAAAAAAUGCACAGCUAAACGAAUAUAUGACGAUGAACACAGGAUGUUUUUAACAGAGUUAAAGUUGUUUUUUGUUGAACGCUAUGGCAAGCCAUUCUGCCUGAUAUGUCGGACGUCAUUGGCGCAUUUAAAAGCUUCAAAUGGUCAGCGCCACUUCAGCUCACUUCAUGCCAAUAUCGAUAAGGACUUUGCAAAAGGGACUGAUAUUUCGCAAGCACAAGUUUGGAGACUUUGAAAAGUCAGGCAGAAAAAUAGGUACAGUUUUUCAAAAAAAUUACGAAGCACUCAGAGACUGUCACACUUGCAUUGUUUCAACUGACUUGGAAUAUUGCACGGGCUAAAAAGCCAUACAAUGAAGUGGAGUUCGUUAAAAUAUGCCUCAGUGACGUUAUUGAAAUCUUGUCUCCUGAAAAUGACAAACUAAAACGAAUGGUCUGUCCCGCCACACAUGGUAAGUGGAAAAACGUAUGUUUUUGUUUGUGGAAUUUGUUGAACUGAGUUUGUCUGUGUGAGACAAUGCAGACAAUGUUCAUUGUUGAAAAUGUGGUCUUUGGUCUGUGGUUUUAGUACUGUAGGAGUCAAUUUGUCAUUAUCAUGUUGGUGCGUGACAUAAUAAUGUCACACAAUAAAUUUGGCUGAGCAGAGGGGUGUGUGUGUGUGUGUGCGUGUGUGUGUGGGUGUGCGUGUUUGUGUGUGUGUGUGUGGGGAGGGGGUGUUCAUGUGUGCUCAGUUGUAUGAUGUGGCUCUUUGCGAUGACACAGUAAAAAAUGUGGCUCUUAGUCUCUGACUGGUUGGCCACCCCUGGCCUAGCUGGUGUGAUAACGUGUGACCUUGUAGUCUUAACUGAGAGCGACUUCUACAUAUGUGCAAAGGGUGUCAUAGAGAAGAGAAAGCUAAUAAAGCAAGACUCGAGUCCUAUUCUAACAAACCGUUGGUGAGAAUGGGUAGACAGGGAAGCCUGUAAUGCAGUGCUUCUCAAUUAUUUUCUGUUACGCCCCCCCCUAGCAAGAAGGAAACUUUUCGCGCCCCCCCCUCCCCACCGUGACUAUCCUAACUUGUCUUGUAAAUCGUAAAAUGUUGCACUGUCGCAAACGUCACAGAAGUAACAAUGAGAGCGCCACUGCCCCCUGCUGGGAAGAUGCGCGAGUACACUUUAUUCUAGUACUGCAAAAAAAAAAGCCUGUUCCCCAGGGUCACACGCGCCCCCCCAGGUAUAGCACGGCGCCCCCCAAGGGGGGCGCGCCCCACUAUUUGAGAAGCACUGCUGUAAUGUCAUGACUCGUCCCCGGUCACGUCCAUGUUGUCAUAGUUUUGUCCGUGUGUCUGUGUGCUCACCCCUCCCCUCCUGUGUGCCCAUGAUCAGUGUGAUCAUUCUCACCUGCCUCUUGUUACCUGUCUUGUAUAUUAAGUCCUGUCUGUGUAUCACUCCCUGUCGGAGCAUUGAUGUGUUUGUUACUGUCAUGAGGUUUUUUUGGUUCCUGUCUUGGUAAUGUCACCCUGUCUUUUUGUCUCACGUCUCUGUUGUUGGUUUUGUUAGUAAGUCUUGUCAGUUUGCAGAGUCUUUUGAGUUUGCUUCAAUAAACCGUGGUCCAAGCUGCACUUGGUCCCCCUGCUCCAUUUCCACACUCCGUUCGUGACAUGCACUUCUAGAGUUGGACCGAGCCAUUUUUUACUUCAUCUGGAAAUCCAAGUUGGAGAGACUGAAGAGGGACACCAUGAAGAAAAACAAAAAAAAGGAGCGGGAAGCGGUGUGUCCAGUGCGCGGGCUUGCAUUCGGCGAGCCCACAACAGUUUGGCGCAACGUCAACCACCCCGCCCUCUCGAAACAAACUUCGGGACCUGUCAUGGAUGGUGGCCCAUGAUGUCCUCCCAGUCAGGUCCGUUAUGCACUCUCGGGGCAUGUCAGCGCUCUCAGCGUGCCCCUGACCUGGCUGUGGUGCCCAGGAGUCAGUGUGGGACCUGCUCUGGUAGUGCAGGGCUGCCGUAGACCUGUGGGCGACCUGCAAUUCCCCGCAAGGUAAGCGCAGAUUGCAGACCUUGUACUCUAUGCGUUGACCCCGUUGAAAAUCAAGCAAGAAGACUUUACAAAGCAGUCGUUGCCAUCAAAGACGCCAUGUGGACUUCCAGAAACUUGCUGGUAAGGAAGCACAGACAGAUA